UAAUAAUUGGAGCAGAUAUAGCGUAUUAUGGUAAUUCCCAAAAUUAAUUAUAAUGGGCGCUACUUUUUGCCGCCAUUGAAGAUUCCACACUAAUCCCUAAACACAAAAAUCCCAAAUCACAAGUUAGCAGUGAGAUAGUCGAUUAUCUGGAAUGCCUUAAACAUUCCUUGUACAUCGAAGAACCACCAACAACUUCACAACUGAUCAUCCGCAACGUCAAAGGUAUUUGUUAGGGCAGGAGAUCACAAUUUCGAAAAAAGGUAUUGUGAUAUUGAGAUUGGUGACUUGCGUGAUAUUGAGAUAUGUGAACCAGGAGAUGCUAAGGGAUAUGGUGUUUUGCUGCAAUAGAGUAUUCUUAGCCUUUUCGAUGUUUGGUUUUUUUAAUGCCUUUGUUCUUUUUAUGACCGAACUUGGAAAUGUAGAGGUACUUGUAUGUGUUCGGAAUGAUUUUGAGAAAAUGGACUUGAGUUUGAUAAAGAUGAUGAGAAAAGCUCUACUACUAGCAAAUUGGUCUCUUCAACAAGUUUGCAUGUAUAAAAGAGAUUUGAGAAAAAAAGUAUUUUCUCAGUGAGGUUCUUGUCCAGGAUAAGAUGGCAGCUUUUGAGAAAUAUGGACAAAUAAGGAUAUCGAAAAAUCGAUUGAAGUUGCAAGAGAUAGGAGUUAAGUCUAUGGCUUAUGAAAUUAGUCAAUCAAUGAAGGGAAAAAGGGACAUGCAACAAUAAGAAAAAAUAUCAAAAGCCGGAUAACGAUGAUGAGUACACACCUACUGAAGAUUGUGAACAGUUAUUGAUCCACUCUAGUGAAGAGGAUGACAACGAUAAAAGGGAAGAGUGCAUAACAUUGAGGUCUCAAUGUAAAAAGGUGGUACUUAAUUUGUGAAUUAUAAUUUUUAACUAACUUGGUACAUUCUUGAAAUAAUAUGGUUUUCUAUUUUACAAUUUUUAGCCCAACAUAUAAGUCCUGCAAUGCUCAAAGACAAUGCAAGUGACUCUCAAAUAGGAAUGGAAAGUCUAAUGAAAAGGUGCCAUCCAACCUCGAAAAAUGAAUAUAUAAAGGAGGAAUCACAAGGGAAAUUUACAACACGGAGUAGAAAGCGACCUCAAUAGGAUUCAAUGAAAACCACACAAUAAUAAAGGGUCUCAAUGCUAUCUAAUCAAAGUCAAAGGUCGUCUAGUUUGGAAAAUCUUCCGUUGAACAUAAGCAAUUCUAUUGUGCAGAGGGUGUUGUAUUCAAGGUUUUAAUGAUGACAAAUAAUGAUUGAGUCUAGGAAAAUAAGUUGAGUCUAGAAAAUUAAUUGUGUAACUUAGAAUUAAUUUUCAUAUUAUCUUGAGAAUAAUUUAUUUAAUUAUAACUUGUGGAGAGAUGGUUAUGAGUUUAACCUAGUCAACUUAUUUAAAUAAAUUAAUUCCUAUUCUCGAAAUGUUAUGUGUUAUGAAUUGCUUUGAAUCAACGAAAUAGGAAUAUUAUUUUGAAUAACAUAAUUUCCAUGAUAUUUGUUGGAGUAUGUCUUUCUUCUUAUUUUAUAGGUUGAAAGAAUUAAAUUGACGAAGACAUGCAAUAACAAACCGGGCUAUAAUGAAGGAAACACACAUCAGAUUGCAGUUCCUAGAAUUCAGGAGAUUGGAAACUCACUAACCAGUCAGCUCCUAGAAUCUAGGAGACUGGAAACUAUUUGACCAGUCAGUUCCUAGAAUCCAGGAAAUCUAACAAACUUCCAAAUAUUCAGCCUCAACAACAAACAUCACGCUGAAUAUGGAAGUAAUGGCUGAUUGUACGUGGAUUUUGAUUGUGGAGUUAGUUGGAGAAGAUCGUGGAUAAUGUGGCUCCAACAACGGUUAGAUCAUGGGUCACUUCUAACACCCAUGACUGCUUAGUGGAAAAAAAUUAGGAGCUGCUGAUCUUCUAUAUAUAGCUCAACAAUGAACCAGAAUAAACUUAACACUUACCAGAUUUAUUGUAAUAUUUUAUAAGGAAGUAUAUUUCGGUUUAUUACUGUUCAAGCAAUUAUAUUUGUAAUAUUCUUAGAGUGUAGGUUGAGAGAAAUCAAAUCUUGUAUUCGAGAGUGAGAAAAGAGAAAGAGAAAAAUAAGAGAGAAAGAGAAGACUUCUAGUGAAGUCAGGUGAGGAAAGUCACGUGUUCAUGGGGAACAAGGUGACUGGGAAUUGGUUCCUAGAGGAACUGAGUGAGGACUGGUUUUUAAUAAGUUGUAAUAACUUUUAUAAAUAA